UAAUUUCAUGUAUGGUUGGUUGUCUAUGUUAGGAAUACGUUUAUUGUUUAAUAUUCAAGUUUGGUUACAGAUAUAAUCGUGGAUUGGUUGUGAUUACCAAUUCUCAUCAUCAUUUUCAAUUGGUACAUUGUUGAUAUUGUUAUUGUUAUAGGUUGAUGAUGAUGAGGCGCCUUCCCAUGCCUUUGGGACAUAUUGAAUGGCAGCUGUAUAGAAGUGUCUCUUCAUUGGGCAGGUCAAGAUGUGCAUUUUAUAGUCAGUCUCGUUGACGAAUUUGUGCUCUGCAAAGAAUGGGCAGGUGAGAUGGUUGGGAUGCUUCUUCAUGCAUUUUAUGAUGUGGUUCUGGAGGCGGUCGGCGCUGACAACAUGAUUGGCGUCGAAUGGACACAGAGCUAAUUUGUUUUCCGCCCUGUGGAAUUUUACAUGAGAGGUUAGUCAGUUGAAGUUGUUUUUGUUGUUUGUUUAUAUUGAAUAAGUACAUGCAUGCAACGGGGGUAACACAAGAAUAAUUCUUAUUUUAAACUCAAAACUGGGUUGAAAUUAUUUGAAAAUUCAAUUGUAAUAAUUCUAUUAUAAUAUUUUUAUAAAUAUACUCUAACAAAAAUGCA